rnacentral:lncRNA from 1 species
UAUCCAAUUGCCUCUUAACACUUUCUCUUAGGUGUUUCAAAAUACUCCGAACUGAAGCCAUGCUCUUCAUGACUCCCUUCCUCAAGUCUGCUUCUCUUUCUGAUUUCCCUCUAUCGGUGAAGUCACCGUGAUCCAUUCACUUGCACAAAGCGCAAACUUAGGAAUCAUUUGUGACAUCUCUUUCUCCCUCCAUCCCCCAUAUCCAAUUCAUCACCAGCCUGUUGACUUUAAUUCCUAAAAGUCACUCGAGUCGAUCUACUUCUCUUCCACCUCCUGCCAAUAUGCUAGUCCAAACUGCCAUUUCUUUCCUCAAAACUCCCCACAGUCUUCCAGCUGGUCUUCUUGCAUGCAGUUUCUUCCUCACCCUGCACCCAGAGGGAUUCUCCCCAGAUGCGUCUCUGAUCACACCAUCCUGCCAUUGACUCUGUCCUCAUAGGGACAUACUAAAACUCUUCAGUGGCGGCUCCUUGCUCAUAUGAUAAAGAUAUGCUCUAGAGCUGGAGACAAAGUGAGCUCCCCCGAGCUGAGCACGGAAGUGGGAGUGGAGGAAGGAUCCUUUAUCAAGGCCAGGUACGAAGCUGUUACAGCACAAGGAGAAGUGGAUGCUGGUCAUGGAGAGACAGCAGACAUCCACUACAAGGACAGUCUCUCAAGGGAGAGUUUUGUCAAGGAAGAACUUUGCAAGAGAUUAACAGGAUUUCAAGACCCUGUACAGGUGGGCUGAGAUAAUGGUUUCAGCAAGAGACUAAGAGACCUUAGAGGCUUAGGGAAAAGCUGACUGAGUGGAAUCAGGGCACGUAUAUCAAGUUUAGGGCAGCGUUAGUAAGACCACACUAGUGGUGAGGCCAAGGCACCUAAUAUGCAUCUGACUGCUGAAGACUUCCAGUUCAUGGAGCUAUACAGGAGCAGGCUGGGGCUGACAGGAGUCUGGCAUGACUUGGUCAUACUGAACCUCCGUUGGCUUCUCCCUGCUCAGAAACCAUCUGUUCUAUAAUGUCUUCUAGAAUUGAACUGGGAUAUGAUGUUGUACUACCCGAUCUCUAAUUCCUGGGAGUCAGCCUUGAAUCUUUGUUCUUGCCUGAAAAUGAGCUCAAUUACUCAUCGCCAGUCUCCUGGUGUCUCUCUCACCUACCUACCCUGAAGAUUUCUUCUUUCUUUCUUGAAGUUGAACUUAUAUUUCAUAAUAGGUGCCUCUGUUUAAUCCACCGUUUGAAGUGCUGGAGGAGCAAGGAAGGCCAGAUGAGUUUCUUCCCUUUCAGCCCAUCUUCUGUGUCUCUCUAGAGACAUUAAAAAAAAAAAAAGCCAGCUCUCUGUUUAAAAGCCUCCAAUUUUCUGCAGACUAAAGUUCAGCCGCUCUAAUGUGGCACAUGGAAUUCUUUGUAACACAGCCUGCAUCUUGUAGGGUUUCUUGGUUACAGGCACAGUAACUAUCUCUGAAUGGUGCAAGCCUUAGAAAGCUCAUGGAAUGGAAGGCAUAGCUGAUCAAAGAAGCCUAAGAAAGGACUGGAACCAGCAGACCUCCAAUAAUCCAGAGAAUAGGACUUAAGCGACACUCUCUUCAAGACGCUGUGGCUGGUACAAACCAGCUCCAAGACAUUUCCCUCAGCCCCUCCAUUCAUGAUUUAAAUUCCUAAGAACCACCUCCCACCACCAUUGUGUGGCUUCUUAGAGGAAAUCCCAACCAAGGUGUCCCACGUCCCUUGGGUAAGGAGCAGUGACCUAAGCUCAGCCGGCUUGAUUGCGGAGGGCAGCGCCAUUCUUAAGCCCAUGCAGAAAACAUCCCUGCACUGAGUCAUCCGCCCUAGAAGUCUCCACUCUAGUCCUUCUCCCAUCACGUCUUCCCAGGGGAUAAGGAGGCCACAGGCCAAGGGCACUUGCCCACCUCAACCUGCACCCUCUCUUCUGGACCAUUCUCUUGGUCACAGAGACCCUGGACUUCCCUGCCCAAGUUGGCUCUUCCCUGGAUCUGUCCUCCCGAGGGCACAUGGCACAUGAAAGCCAGAGGGGAUGUAAAGACUGCUGUCCACCCAUUUUCACUGUGCAGGUUAUGAUGUACUCACACACGUACAAAAAGCCACUACAGUGAUGGGCAGAGCUGGGAGUAGGAAGAGAAGUGGGGAACAGGCUGAGGGUAGGGAUCCGGGAGCCAUAAGCCAGGAGCCAGCUCUCCCCAUGCUGCUAUAUUCUGGCAAGAAAAUCUGAGAAGCCAGAGGAUUCCAAAUUUGAACUUGGCCUUCCAGGUCAUUAUGAAGAUAGGAGGAUAGUACAUAUUUUAAAUGACACUUUAAUAGAUUGCUUUAUCACUUUCAAAUCCCUGGGCAUGUGGUAUAUGGCCCUUCAUUUGUACGCUUCCUCUGGGUCCUGCAAGGGUAUAGGCAGGUCGGUCAAAGAGCAUCAGGAUGCUGCUACCCGAGGAAGAGGCCAGUGAUGUCCACGUGCUGUUGAGAUCCCGUGUUCCCACCCCUGUGUCUAGUGACCCAGCGCCCCGUGACUCAGCUGCCCAGGCCCUGAGCAGACCCUGCAAAUGCCGGAGGCUCCCAACUGUCUCCCUGCCUCCACGUUAGCCCCCUGGAGUCCUCUCAGUCAAGCAUCCAGAGGUAUCUUUAAACAUAUAAUGAAUCAAGCCACUUCCCAGUUUAAAAGCCUACGGUGACCGCUCCCCACCCCCACCUACCCCGCCCAGAGGAAAAGUCAAAAUCCUUUCCACAUUUCGCAAAGCUUUGCACGACACCUCCCAGCCUCCAUCCACCGUCUCUCUGUCCUCUUGCUGACCCACUCCAGCCAUGCUGUCCUUCUGGUGGUCGCUGGACACGUCAAGCUCAGCCCUGCAUGGGGUCCUCUGCACCUGCUGUCCUUGUGGCUGGAACAUUCUUCCCUUGGUUGUCCCCAUGGCUAGCUCUUUCAGCUCCUUCAGCUCUCUGUUUAUGCUACUUCCUAGCACAAUCUUCUCUGGUGACCCCAACUAAAAUAGGGGGCCCCGUUCCCACCGCAGCAUCUCCCACCUCCUUUCCCUGCAUUAUUCUCCGCACAGCACUCCCCGUCACACUAUGCGUCUUGAUUGUUUCUUGCAUGUUAUCUAUCUAGACAGACUAGAAGAGAAGCAACGUGCGGGCAGGGACCUUUGUCUGUCUGUUCCCUGCUGUCUCUCCAGCACCUGGAACACUCCUGAGCUCAGAGGUGACACUCCACAAAUGUUUGUUGAGUGAAUAAUGGGAUGAAUGAAUGAAAGCAUACAUGCCAUGCCCCUGAGCCCCUGCAUAUGGUCCCCUCUCUGUCUGGGAUGCCACCAUCAUCUUCUCCUUCAAGGCCUAGCUCAGCAUUACCCUAUCUCUGCGGCACCUCCUCCUCUCCAUCCCACCCCAGCAGCAUUGUUUUUGGUUCCCCCAUCAUGCUUUACACAUACUUCUCUAAUAAUACUCACUACAUUCAAUUAUUGUCUGGUGUUUUUUUUCUUUUAAAAGAUGUACAUAAGCAGUACAUGAAUACAUUCACUUUAUUAAAUAUUCAAACAAUAUAGUAAGUGAAAGAUCUCCUCUAGGCUACUCUCAAAAUCUACCUUUCCUUUCCAGAAGUAAUCUUGUCUGGGAAUUUACAUACACAUACAUGGAUAAAAAAGUAAAGUUUUGUUUUGAGUGUGCAUGUGUGUGCUUUAUUAUACCUAUGUUCUGGCAUUUUCUAUGAUUUGCAUCUUUGACACAGAGUACUUUGUGUGAUUGUCUGUUUUGUACCUGUAUGCAUUUAAAUCACUUUAAAAAAUAAUUUAGCAUUGAAUUAGAUAGAAUGAAGGCAUGAAGAUUUAGUUGGCCAUUCCCCAUCUUAUGGGUAUUUAGAUGGUUCACAUUGCUGCAGCCAUGCCACAGUGAAAGUUCCUACACAGGUCUGUUAGAGCAUAUGUGUUUCUCCAGACUACAUACCUAGAAGGGAAAUAGAGGAUUUGAAAAGUGUGCAGAUUUUAACCUGUCAAUUCACCCUUUAAAAAGCCUGUAAAAAUUAUGCUUCUGUGAAGGUGGGAUAUUUUUAAUAUUUGCCUAUUUGCUGGGAGAAAAUGUCUCAUUCGAGUUUUGUUUUUCAUUUCCCUGAUUAUUGCUGAAGUUUACAUGUUUGUCUAUAUUUAUUAGAAUUUAGUUUCUCUUGUGACUCGUUUUUCCAUCUUCUUGGCCCGUUUUUCUUUUCUCUUGCUGUCACUAUCUUACGUGCCUGUUUGUUUUACUUGACUGUGAGCUCCUUCAGGUGGUCAUCACAUCUUAUUUAUCAAGGUUUCCCCUUCCAGAGCACACAGACAGUGCUUAAUGAAUGUAUAUCCAAUUGCAUUAUUGAAGCCAUAGGCAUUACCCUUUAUCAUGGUUAUCAUCAUUAUCAUCCUCCUCAUCACCGCCAGUACCAUUUAUUUAGUCUCACAGGAUGCUAAGCCCUGUCUCGGGAGGUGUGCGUAUAUAGUCUCUCAUCUUCCUAAUACCUCGCCCAACAAAGUGACUAUUGGUAGCUCUGUUUUACAGAUAAAGCAGUUGAGACUCAUGCAAGUUACACGGGCUGCCCAAGGACACUCAGCCGGAUUAUGAAGGGAGGGAUUAUGGAGCAGAGUCUUUUCAGCCUGGUUCCAAAGUAUGUGCAGUCUCCCUUAGAGCAAUUGGCCUCUUCCUGGCCACGCAUUAGAAUCACCUGAACAGGCUUUUAAAUGAUAGCUAUAUCCAGUCCUACCCCAGGCCAAUUGAUUCAGAAACUCUGGGACUAGGUCUGGGGAAGUGGUGUUAUAAAAAUCCCUACAUGAUUUUGAUGUGCAGAAAUGGUUGAAAACCUUUGGUCUACAUUGGGAGUGAACCAGCUUUUUUUGUAAAGUGCCAGAUAGUAAAUAUUUUAGACUUUGCCUGCCAUACAGUCUCUGUGGCAACUAUCCACCUUUGCUGUUGUAGGGUCAAAACAGCCAAAGACAAAAAUGAACGAACAUGACUGUGUUCCAAUUGAAACCCAUUUACAAAAACAAACGGCAGCCAAAUUUGGUCCAUGGGCUGUAGUUUGUGGACCCCUAGUCUAUAUCAUAAUACUUCGAAGAUCUUGGAAUUUCGGAUUGUCCCAGUCAAACCAGGACAUCUGGUCACAUUAAUUACCUUGCUAAGUCUCAAGGACAGUGGCAUGAGAAUCUUUGCCCCACCUCAACAGAUUCUGCUUCAGUAGGUUGGGGCCUGGGCAUCUGCAUUUCAACAAGGGAUGCAGCUGAUUCUGAUGUAAGCAGACUUCGUGGGUCCUUACUGCAAGAAUCACUGGGCUACCAAAGCAUAAUGUUCUUGGCAAGUAGCGAAAGCUUGGCUGGAGAAGCAGAACUGGUUCUUAUCCAACAAUUCUUUAAGCUCAUGGAUAGACAUUUUGUGCGUCCCUGCCUGCCUUAUGUUCCAGCAUCCUGCCUCCAAGGUUCUGGAACCUUGGGUGCCCCAGCAUCACAUCUUCCCAGUCUGCACGUUGGCAGAGAAGGAAGCCGUCCUGCCUCUUCAUCUCUGAAAUUAGUAGAAGACCAAAGUCCUUGUAUAUUUCAAAAUAUUGAAGAAGAAAGUGACUGUUUAACCACCUACGUGAUAAAACUGAUACUGGCAUUUAUCAGUCUGUGUGUGUGUGUGUGUGUGUGUUUCAGUAGUUAGAAAAUGGAGCCUCCAUUUUCCCGUCAUCCGCUUUGAAGCUAUGUAGUGGGUGAAUGCCAUCAUUUCUGUUUCCGACCUCUUUAGCAUCCAUUAUUUCUCUGUUGUCCACAUCUAAUAGUCUGGAUCCUUUUAGUUGUUGAUGGCGCAGCGAUUACUGGGGCUGCUGCUUUAGGAUGACUUCCAAAUGCAUCUGAACAGUUGAAUUUAUUUACUGCUUCCCUCCUGAAAGCUUUUUAGCAUGAUCCAGCUGGGGUGGUUUCAUCGGGAAAACCAUUAUUUGCGGCUCUCUUUUUUUGAGGGGUAGAAAUAAAUUUCCCAAAAGGUGAAAGUGGACGCUGUUCAUUGUGGAUCUGCAAUCUUACUUUUUCUUCUCUCUCCUUCUUACAUUCCAUUUGCACAGUUUUUCUCAGGAAUGACUUCUUUCUGGGGAAAUGGAAUGUUCUAAAUGGCACGAUUGAGUCAAAUCAAUGUUUAGAGUGGUUUGGACUUUUAAGCCUUUUGCUGGAUUUUGGCAGUAUCAUUUUAUACUGUAAAACCCCUUUUUUCCCAGGUAACCUAUAAUAUUCAUAUUGAACAUUAUUCACAGCUUUCUA